GGAGUUUUCAGUGCAUCUUAGCAAGCUCUGUUUUUCUCUUGCUAUAUGCUAACUUGACCAUCAGGGAUGUCAGAUGAGUGGACGUUAUGCAGAGCUGCUGCUGCGUGUGCCUCUGUGAGGUGUGCUCUGCUGCUCCCUGACAGAGCCAUGCUUCAGCCUGUCCCAGUGGAAUGAGGUACGAGCGUUUCUGACGAGGAAGGUGAAUAGAGUUUUUAGCCAAAUUCUUCCAUGAGGGUGCCAAAAAGUGACUCAACUUGUGAAUAACAGAAGGUUGUAGUCUAUGCAGUUGAAAUCCCUGCCUCUGUUUAUUUCCUGCCUGCUAAGAAUAGUCUUGGCUAAUGCAGAGGGGCAUGCCAGUCACUCAUGUGAUAGCCGCAAGCAGUCAAUCAUGAGACUGGAAAUACCUAGAAAGGCAUUGGGCCUACUGCAGGCUGUACUAAAUAAGCAUGAGGAGACAGCAGAGGAGGGAGAGCGGUUCUCAAUAGACUCUGCUGAAUGGUGGCCUUGCUGAAGGCCUCUGAGAUGACACUUUCACAACAGUAGUUCUGGUUUGCCCUUCACCAGGCUGCCUGCCCAAACAGUGGGCUGCAGUAACAGAGUACUGCAGCCUUAACAGGAGGUUGGUGCCAGUUUCUGCCAGUUCUCCUGGCAACAGAAACACCGCAGGGUUACCCCCUCUGUGACAGGCCUCAGAAGUGCUGUGGCUCUACCUCAGAGCCGGCUCGUCCAUGUACAACAUGGCCCUUGUACCAUGUACAACAGGCCCUUGUACCAGCAGAGUGGAGUUACCACAGUGGUACUGCCACCGGCAGGUGCGCACUGACCGAGAACAAAUUAAGCUUGUAUGCCAGAAAUGACAUUUUCUUCCAGGAGCAGUUGCCUACAAGACAGUUACACUGGUAGCUAAAUCCAUAGUCAGGUACCUGCUUGGGUAUCCCUGCCAUGUACAAACACACCUGAACUAAAUUCAAAGCCGUGCUAGCUUGCAUGGUUGAUGGGUGGUCUGUAACUCAUGUUGUUUUCAGUGGGGAUUUUCAGCAUGGAUGUGCACUAUAUCAUCUGCUCGCUAUUGAUUUGCCCUUGCUUUUCCACUUACUAUUUGUAUGCACAGAUCCCUCCACUGGUUUUCCCACAGCAUGGGGGGAGCUGGCAAGGCACCACAGACUGGCCCAGUUCACUGCAGGGCAAGUAAAGUCACAGCAUCUUCCUUGCCAGCAUGUGCUAUGGUCCUCUCAGACAGAAGAGUUGGAUCCCUUGGAGUCCUCUGUGAAGCGGAAGCUUGGCCAUAGCGGAGGACUGAGGCCCUCCAGCCCCCAUGUCCCACAGCGGGCAUUACUCAUCUGUUGAUGUUCAGCUUGAUAAUACAUUUGUAGACAAUCAGUACAAAGCAGUACAGUUUAAAACAUGUUCCAAUAAUUUUCUAAAAGGUGGGAAGUUAUUUCAGUAAGAAUAUUCAUCUUGUUUCAAGACUAAUUUUUAGUACUUGCUUGAACUUACAAUAUGUACUGUGUAGUUACUUUUUAAUCAAAAUGCAGCUGGAAAUGUGGAGUUUAAAUGUGUAUAAAAUACUACAUUUUAAUACAUUUUCAACAAUGUUUUGUAAACAAGGCUCUCAGAAUGUCACAAACAUGAAAACAACACGAACUGUUGUUAUCUCUGUCACCAAUUAUGGGAUUAUUUGUUAAAAAGAUUAUUUUCCUUUUCUCAUGAUUUGCACAGUCUCUUCUGAAACACCUCUGUUUUCUAAAAGGCAUAAUAAUACAAAUAAUAAAUUAUCACCUUUAUUUUCUAUUGGGAAUUGG
rnacentral:lncRNA from 1 species